GAAAUGCGAUAAGUAAUGUGAAUUGCAGAAUUCAGUGAAUCAUCGAAUCUUUGAACGCACCUUGCGCUCCUUGGUAUUCCUUGGAGCAUGCCUGUUUGAGUAUCAUGAAAUCUUCAAAGUAAAUCUUAUGUUAACUCAAUUGGUUUCUACUUUGGUAUUGGAGGUCUUUGCAGCUUCACACCUGCUCCUCUUUGUUCAUUAGCUGGAUCUCAGUGUUAUGCUUGGUUCCACUCGGCGUGAUAAGUUAUCUAUCGCUGAGGACACUGUAAAAGGUGGCCAAGGUAAAUGCAGAUGAACCGCUUCUAAUAGUCCAUUGACUUGGACAAUACUUUUAUGAUCUGAUCUCAAAUCAGGUAGGACUACCCGCUGAACUUAAGC
rnacentral:misc_RNA from 1 species